rnacentral:rRNA from 1 species
UACGUAGGGUGCGAGCGUUGUCCGGAAUUAUUGGGCGUAAAGAGCUCGUAGGCGACUUGUCGCGUCGGAUGUGAAAGCUCGGGGCUUAACUCUGGGUUGGCAUUCGAUACGGGCAGGCUGGAGUUCGGUAGGGGAGAUCGGAAUUCCUGGUGUAGCGGUGAAAUGCGCAGAUAUCAGGAGGAACACCGGUGGCGAAGGCGGAUCUCUGGGCCGAUACUGACGCUGAGGAGCGAAAGCAUGGGGAGCGAACAGGAUUAGAUACCCUGGUAGUCCAUGCCGUAAACGUUGGGCACUAGGUGUGGGCGACAUUCCACGUUGUCCGUGCCGCAGCUAACGCAUUAAGUGCCCCGCCUGGGGAGUACGGCCGCAAGGCUAAA